rnacentral:tRNA from 2 species
GCCGCUUUAGUUAAGUGGUAGAACAACGCUUUCGUAAAGCGUAGACACAAGUUCGAUUCUUGUAAGCGGCU